AAAAAAUAAAAUACUAUUAAGUGGAGAAAAAUAUAAAACUGCUUGGUAGGAGAUGAGGAAGGGAAGUCAACUGCUUAGCUUGUAUCCUUAUUUUCAUGACUGCCUUAAUUCAGGGAUUUUUCCCAUUUCCCUACUGGGUUCAGGUUCUCUCUGGACAAGGACACAGGCCUUAUCACACUCAUUGCCAAAUUGGACUAUGAGCUGAUCCAACGCUUCACACUGACCGUGAUUGCCCGCGAUGGGGGCGGUGAGGAGACGACGGGGAGGGUCCGAGUCAAUGUGUUGGACGUCAAUGACAAUGUCCCCACCUUCCAGAAGGAUGCCUAUGUGGGGGCUUUAAGAGAGAAUGAGCCUUCGGUGACCCAGCUGGUGCGGCUGCGGGCAACUGAUGAAGACUCUCCUCCCAACAAUCAAAUCACCUACAGCAUCGUGAAUGCGUCUGCGUUUGGCAGCUACUUUGACAUCAGCGUCUAUGAGGGCUAUGCAGUGAUUAGUGUCAACCGUCCCCUGGAUUAUGAGCAGAUCCCCAACGGAAUGAUUUACUUGACUGUCAUGGCUAAGGAUGCUGGCAAUCCACCUCUCAACAGCACUGUCCCUGUCACCAUUGAGGUGUUUGAUGAAAAUGACAAUCCCCCCACCUUCAGCAAGCCCUCCUACUCUGUCACCGUUGUGGAGAACAUCAUGGCAGGU